GGGUGAUUAGCUCAGUUGGUUCAGAGCACCUGGUUUACACCCAGGGGGUCGGGAGUUCGAGUCUCUCAUCGCCCA
rnacentral:tRNA from 1 species